rnacentral:ncRNA from 1 species
GGAAAGUUUGAUUCUUUCUUGCGUCUUUAUGAGUUUACUGAAAUUGUAUGAAAAUUUUUGUAUGUAAAAUGUUAAAGAUUUAAUAUUUUUUAUAUAAGGAAAAAGAUUGUUUUAUAAAGAUUAAAUUCUCAGCAUAAGGUAUUAAACAAUUUAUAAUAGUAAGAUUUAGUAGUGGAUAAAACUUGAUAAAAGAUUGUGCCAGCAGUCGCGGUUAGACUUUAAAGUUAAGUAAAGAAAUAUUGGGAAAAGUUAAGUGUAAUGACCAGUAUAAAGUUGAAAAAUUAAAAGGUGAAAUUAAGUUGUUUCUUUUAACAUAAACACGUUAGUUUAAGCUGAGGCUAAAAAUUAUUAGAGUUAAACUAGGAUUAGAUACCCUAUUAUACUGAUACAUAUAGAUAAUCCUAAAUUAUUAAUAGAUACAGUCUUUAAACUUGAAGAAUUUGGCGGUGGUUUAGUCUUGUUAGAAGGAACCUGUUUUUGAAUCGAUACACCACGUAAAUUUACUUGCUUUACUAAGUUUGUAUACCGUCAUUAGCAGAUAAUUUUCAAAGAAUAAAUUAUUAAAUUUUAUAAAUAUAAGUAAACUUAGAUCAAGGUGCAGCUGAUAAGUAAGUUAAAAUGGGUUACAAUAAAAUUUAUUUAUUACGGUAUUAAAUUAUAAGAAACGGUAUUAUGAAGGAGGAUUUAAUUGUAAUGUAAGUUUAAUAAGCUUAUAAGAUAUAAAGCUCUAAAUCAUGUACAUAUCGCCCGUCGCUCUCAUUACACAGGUGAGAUAAGUCGUAACAUAGUAGAUUUACUGGAAAGUAAAUCUAGUUUGAA